CUACGUGCCAGCAGCCGCGGUAAUACGGAGGGUGCGAGCGUUAAUCGGAAUAACUGGGCGUAAAGGGCACGCAGGCGGUGACUUAAGUGAGGUGUGAAAGCCCCGGGCUUAACCUGGGAAUUGCAUUUCAUACUGGGUCGCUAGAGUACUUUAGGGAGGGGUAGAAUUCCACGUGUAGCGGUGAAAUGCGUAGAGAUGUGGAGGAAUACCGAAGGCGAAGGCAGCCCCUUGGGAAUGUACUGACGCUCAUGUGCGAAAGCGUGGGGAGCAAACAGGAUUAGAUACCCUGGUAGUCCACGCUGUAAACGAUGUCGAUUUGGGGGUUGAACUUUAGGUUUGGCGCCCGUAGCUAACGUGAUAAAUCGACCGCCUGGGGAGUACGGCCGCAAGGUUAAAACUCAAAUGAAUUGACGGGGGCCCGCACAAGCGGUGGAGCAUGUGGUUUAAUUCGAUGCAACGCGAAGAACCUUACCUACUCUUGACA
rnacentral:rRNA from 1 species